CCAGACAAAAGAGAAAGUCUAGAUAUAAGAGAAAUUGAGAGAGAAAAGAAGAAAGCAGAAGAAACAGAGCGGAAGGAGACCGGAAAAACCCAGAAGAGUGCGAUAGAGAGAGAAAAGAAGGUCUUAGAGAAAGUGAGAGAGAAAAGAGAGCAAACGCUCGAUUCGGAUCCUAGACCCAAAAGCUCGAUUCAGAUCCGAGCAGCCUAAACUCAGAGCAAAUCAUCUUUUCUUCUUCUGAUAGCCAACCCUUCGCAGCCGUUGCCGGAGACGCACGUCUAAUUUUGGAUAUCCUUGGUUGUUCUCAUUUGCCUUUACUCAUUUGAUUAAUCUGGGACUGUACUCUAUAUUGUGAUUACAGGGUUUGGUUUUGGUUGGCUUUCGACGAUACCCACUUUGUCUGUUUUGAAGAUGUGUUUGCAGUGUUGUGAAGGUUAUUGAUCUUGAAGAAGACAUUGAUGGGAGUAGAUGAUUAUGCCUGAUCUUAAUUAGAAUGAAUAUGUUCAAAAGGCGAUUCAAGAUAGAUUGAGAAACCGAAAGUGAAGCAAUGUAAGCUCUACUUGAAGAAGAAUGGGUUCAAAGUUUUAAAUUAACUAGCGGUAAGAACACGGUUAUUCAUCGGAUUAAGGAGCAUCUACGCAAACAAACUCUGAUACAUAACCACUUUCCAGACCAGGUUGCUGCUAUUGUAGGUGUGUUAUCUGGGGAUGGACCUUUAAGCAGGUGUGCUCAGGUUAAAAAAGAAUUAGGCACAAAUCCAAACAAGAUCUACUAGGCACACAUAAUUUAUAGAGAUGAUGGUGCUUGAGACCUCUUCACAUUAUAUCAGUUAGCCAUUCUCAGUGUUAUAACCCCACAUGAAAAUAGUCUUUUUGGUGUGUGUAUAAUCAAUAGAUGCAUUCAAACCCAUAUAUCAAUUUCAACCCAUAUAUUCACCCUAAACCCACCCAUAUAUCACUUUAUAUUAUGUUAGAUAAUGUGUCUCCUUUAUCCUUUUCAUACUAUUUGAUUGUCUAUUUGCCAGAAAGAAUUUUCACCGUGGUCAACUCUUCCUAAUAUUUUCACGUGAUGUAAUUUCAUACAUGAUCAAGAAUGUAA